rnacentral:lncRNA from 1 species
AUAACCACUACCCGAGAAGGGAGUGGGAACAAGUGAUACCCCAGGGACAUCAGACGAGUACACAAAAAGGGGACUAGAAGAAUCUACAACAGUAGAGGCACCAGUGUUUGUGCUAGAAGCCAUAAUGAACCGGCUUAAAUGAAUAACUUUUCAACAAACAGAAUACUACCAAAACAGGUAUUCAAACACAGCAACCAACAAACAGACUACAGUCAGGUCAAAUAUUCAUAGACAACACCAGAUGCUCACAAUAACAGAGUCAAAUAAUCACAUAUAAGAUCGAAGAUAAGGACAGAGUUACCCUCCUUCUUCGCGACCGGAGAAGAUCGGCCUUCAAACAGUAGAGAAACCCUAGGUAUCAAACCCUAGGUGUAACUUUGAAAACAAAUUUUACCGGAAAUCUGGUUAGCAACGCCGGAAAUGCACCCAAAGCAUCCUCAAAGUUAUAAUCGAGCCACCGGAAUACAGUAAAACCUCAGGUUAGACCGUCAAAAAAAACCCUAAAAGCCGAUAAGUCACCCAAAAUCACCCAAGCAAAAUCAUCAUAAAAUCUUUCCAGAAUUUUCAGGAGAUGAAAAUACACUCGGAUAUCACGAUGAUAUCCUCAAAAAAGUCUCCGAUAGGUUGAAAUCAUCAUCGACGAAGCGGUCUCAGAAAUCACCCCCAAAAACCUCGAAACAGACUUCAUCCAGGACCACGAAACACACAGAAACAUGAUCGGAUCGUCGUCGAGGCUCUAAUACCAUGUUAACAUCGAGAUUAAAUCGAUGAAUCAUGAAAAUCAUAGAGAGAGAAAGUAGAAAAGUUUGGAAUCAGAAAUAGAGAUUAAACCGAUGAAUCAUAAAAAUUAUAGAGAGAGAAAGUAGAGAGAAGGAGGAGUAGGUGAGAAGUCUCUGGAACUUCCGAGAGAGAG